rnacentral:rRNA from 1 species
GCUGGUAGGCAAGCGUGUUAACAGGGGUGACGCACAGUGGUAGCCCGGCGGGCCUGAUGGCUUGGCCCGUUCAAGCGCGCAGCCCGGUCCCCAGGCAAAUCCGGGGACCAGCCCCCCACCGGGGGGCGCGGGUGAGGCGUGAUGGUGACCCCGCCCACGCGGCGGGGGAUAACAGGGUGAUCCUGGGGUGCCGAGAAAAGCCUCGACGCGAUGGUGGCGGCCGCCCGUACCCCACACCGACACAGGUGGUCCGGCAGAGUAUGCCUAGGCGAGCGAGUGAACCGUGGUGAAGGAACUCGGCAAAUUGCCCCCGUAACUUCGGGAGAAGGGGGGCCCGGGCCCUGAAGCAGCAGGCCUGCUAGGGGCGAGGGCCGCAGAGAGCAGGGGGGAGCGACUGUUUACUAAAAACACAGGUCCGUGCGAAGCCGCAAGGCGAUGUAUACGGACUGACGCCUGCCCGGUGCUGGAAGGUUAAGAGGAUCCCUCAACCCCACCCGUGGGGUGAAGGGGUGAGUUCAAGCCCCAGUAAACGGCGGUGGUAACUAUAACCAUCCUAAGGUAGCGAAAUUCCUUGUCGGGUAAGUUCCGACCUGCACGAAUGGCGUAACGACUUCCCCGCUGUCUCCACCACGGGCUCGGCGAAAUUGCACUACGAGUAAAGAUGCUCGUUACGCGCAGAAGGACGGAAAGACCCCGGGACCUUUACUAUAGCUUGGUAUUGGCGUCCGCCAUGGUUUGUGCAGGAUAGGUGGGAGACUGUGAGACCGCCACGCUAGUGGUGGUGGAGUCAUUGUUGAGAUACCACUCUGGCUGUGGCGUGCGCCUGAACCUCGGCCCGUGAUCCGGGUCAGGGACAGUGCCUGGUGGGUAGUUUAACUGGGGCGGUUGCCUCCUAAAAGGUAACGGAGGCGCUCAAAGGUCCCCUCAGCCUGGUCGGCAACCAGGUGGCGAGUGCAAGUGCACAAGGGGGCUUGACUGCGAGACCGACACGUCGAGCAGGCACGAAAGUGGGAACUAGUGAUCCGGCGAUCCCGCGUGGACGGAUCGUCGCUCAACGGAUAAAAGGUACCCCGGGGAUAACAGGCUGAUCCUGCCCAAGAGUCCAUAUCGACGGCAUGGUUUGGCACCUCGAUGUCGGCUCGUCGCAUCCUGGGGCUGGAGCAGGUCCCAAGGGUUGGGCUGUUCGCCCAUUAAAGCGGUACGCGAGCUGGGUUUAGAACGUCGUGAGACAGUUCGGUCCCUAUCCUCUGCGCGCGCAGGAGACUUGAGAAGACCUGUCCCCAGUACGAGAGGACCGGGACGGACGGACCUCUAGUGCGCCAGCUGUACCGCCAGGUGCACCACUGGUUAGCCACGUCCGGAUAAGGAUAACCGCUGAAAGCAUCUAAGCGGGAAACCACCUUCAAGACCAGGUCUCCACACACCACACGGUGCGGAAGGCCCCCAGCAGACCACUGGGUCGAUAGGCCAGACGUGCACACCCGGCAACGGGCGCAGCUGACUGGUACUAACAGGCCGACACAAACACACC